rnacentral:lncRNA from 1 species
CUGUAGUGACCUUCGCUCAGUCACUACAUCGGAAGAUGGCGUCCAAAGGACUCCUGGAGGUAGGUGGACAUUGCCAUGUCUGAGCACAAUCCAAAGUGCUGGUGCUGACCUUUGAAGCCCUAAACAGCCUCAGCCCAGCAUACCUAAAGGAGUGUCUCCAACCCCAUUGAUAGCUUGGACACUGAGGUCCAGCUCUGAGGGCCUUCUGGCAGUUCCCUCACUGUGAGAAGCCAAGUUGCAGGGAACCAGGCAGAGGGCCUUCUCAGUUGUGGCACCUGCCCUGUGGAACACUCUGCCAUCAAAUGUCAAGGAAAUAACUAUCUGGCCUUGAGUCCCCCAGCUCCCCUGAAGUUGGGCAUGAUGGGCUACAGGGUCACUUCCUGUAUCUCUGUCCAAGAAGGUCAGCUUAGCCCCAGCAGGACAUGACUUGCCUGUGGACAUCUCAGGCCUCUCCUUGGGCUGUGGGAAAGGCUUUCUUCCUCUGCCUUGUUCCUCCACAUCCCUUCCAUUGGGUGUCUUGUCUUUUAGAGUUUCCAAACCUCAGAACAGGACUUAUCUCACCUUUUUUCAAAUUGGUGUCAGCUGCUUUAGGAGACAACAUCUGUCUGAAAAGCAGGCUAAAAAUAAUACAAAAAGUAUUAAACCAAUACUUUGAAUAGCAAAGAGAACCUGCACAAACGACGCUGACACAAAAACCCACACAUACAUUAAGCAAAAUAGAAAUAUUGCUGUGGAGAUCACACAGGGUCCUCGGACGUUUAACGGUCUAUUGAUCCCUGUGCCACCACUAUGCUCACUUCCCUGCUGCCACCAACCAGUUAAGGUAAAGGUAAAGGGACCACUGACCAUUAGGUCCAGUCGUGGUCGACUCUGGGGUUGCGGCGCUCAUCUUGCUUUAUUGGCCGAGGGAGCCGGUGUACAGCUUCCGGGUCAUGUGGCCAGCAUGACUAAGCCGCUUCUGGCGAACCAGAGCAGCGCACGGAAACGCCGUUUACCUUCCCACCGGAGUGGUACCUCUUUAUCUACUUGCACUUUGAUGUGCUUUUAAACUGCUAGGUUGGCAGGAGCAGGGACCGAGCAACGGGAGCUCACCCUGUCGCGGGGAUUCGAACCGCCGACCUUCUGAUCAGCAAGUCCUAGGCUCUGUGGUUUAACCCACAGCGCCACCAGUUACUCUGGUAAAACACUGAGUCCUUUCAGUUGUUAAAAGUGAACAAAACACGCAAGUUUAUUUUACAAACAUUAACAAGUUUAUGGUUUCUCAGAUAAUAUUCAUGUCAAUAUCUUAACUUUAGUUUCAUUACCAGUCUAUACCUUCCUAAUACCUUCUGACUGAUUAUCUUAACUGUUUGACUGACUCCUCUUAACAAAUUCUCUCCCUCUCUCACACCAGACUAGCCCAACCCACAGACUUAUCUUCUCUGUCUCCCUAACUCCAGACAACUCUAACGCACUAAAAACCUCUGUGCUUAAAUCUUAUAUACCCUAACUCUGCCCCCUGGGUUCCCAGUGGUUAGUCAUUUUACAAUCAGUUAACUCUUUCCCUAUGAACCCAGUAUGAUGUCACAACAUAGGAAGGCAAACGCCACAAUUCCGUCCCGACCCAACCCCCCCCCCACCAUGGCCCCCUCCACCUCCCCCCCUUUUCUUCCUAAUUUAACCCUAAUGUCUCAACAAAUGAAACUGACCUGUGGAAAAUGUAACUUGAAAAAAGAGACAUUGCGCAUACCUUUGUAAACAAAGAAAACUUUAAUAAAAAUAUUUUUUUUAAGUAUUAAACUGUACAUUUAAAAGAAUAUGGAUUUAAAAGUGUAUGGAUUUAAAUUUGCUCUAACCACUGGGUCACACGGAUUCUCCUAGAAUCUUGGCAGUGUGGCCGUGCAUUCCAUGUUCUCAAGGACUGUUGGCCAGCAACGGAGCUUGUGACCAUUUGAACUGAGGUUCUGGCAUCCUCAGCAUCUUGCGGUUUGCAGAGGUUGGCUGUAGUGACCUUCGCUCAGUCACUACAUUAGAAGAUGGCGUCCAAAAGACUCCUGGAGGUAAGUGGACAUUGCCAUGUCCAGUGGACUUAACUGUAGAACAUAGAUUAAUGGUGUCACCAAGUUUGGCAAAGAGCUAUCCAAGGUCACAGAAAGUGUGGGGCUCUGGGCGAGUUUUUGGAAGUGGAGAAUGAAUGGCGAAGAGGAAAAUUUAGUCUCCCUUCUCCCUCCUGGGGAAAAGCCCGCAAGAGCCACGUGGAGUUUGUGCCUCUUGGGGGCUUUUCCUGCCUGCCUCCCCCCUGCAUUUGCUCCAUAAGACCACACACAUUUCCCCUUACUUUUUAGGAGGGAAAAAGUGUGUCUUAUGGAACGAAAAAUACGGUAGUCUCAUCAUACAGCCCUUGGUAAAAUGGUAAUUAACCUAAAUAAAUGAUUGGUCCUUAACCUGUCCUCCACUUGGGUUUUCAAGGUUCAAGGAUUUGGGAAUUCAGAUGCAAAAGGCAGAACAUCUUGCCCUGGUACUUCACCUGGGAGCGUUGGACCAUUGAAAGGACUCUUGACUACUCACUGUGUUUUGAACUCUUGUUCUUAUGUGAGUAUGGUUUUAGCUGGUUCUGUUUUACAAUGUUUUUAUUUUUUGUUUGUAACCUUCUAAGAAAUGUGCAACUUUUCGAGUGGCUUUUUCAAUAAACUUGGAAAAGGACUUUUUGUGUUUUGUACUCUGUGCCUUUGCUCAGGGAAGCUAAACUGGUGCUUACUGUUUGGACACCUACCUGUUGAAUUUCUGUCUGCGUCACGGUAAAGUGGGGGGUUUUCUCCUCCUUGAACCCCAUUCGAGGGUGGUCUGGGAAAGGAGGUGGCGGCAGCUUUACCAUUUGGCUUGUGAUUUGCAGCAACUAGCGAUCUCUCCCCCUUCCUGGCCAAGUCCUGCAGGUGUCUAGGAGGAAUGGUCGGUGUGUGUGUGGAUUGUCCCGCUUACUACAGGUCCUCUUUCAUUAUAGGGAUGGAUGGAUCAGCCUACAGACAGCCCCUCUUCCUUGUAGCAUCUAAGUAUCCCUAUCAUUUUUCUCUGACAUGUGGAGGUGGCCUCGCUUUGGUUACAGAGGGGCUAAGGAACUUCUGCAUCUCCUUCUCGGCACCACUGGAGAGCAACCAGAGAUGGCCAUCGUAGACCAGCUUUUCAGACCAGAGACCUUCAGCCAGGGGUUUUCUGCCAUGGUGAAGUAAGAGGCAGAACACCGUGAGCUCCCAAUGGUAUGGCAAACGGAGCUCAAGGCAUGGGAUAGGACUCCCAUAAUUCUUUUACUGCUUUACAAGUCCACCACAUAUGAUAAAAGGUGUCUUCUUUUUCCUUACGUUUCCAGCAUGUAUUUGACCUUGUUUUAUACUUUCAGCUAGUUCACUAAUGAUACAGUGGUACCUUGGGUUACAUAUGCUUCAGGUUACAGACGCUUCAGGUUACAGACUUCGCAAACCCAGAAAUAUUACCUCGGGUUAAGAACUUUGCUUCAGGAUGAGAACAGAAAUCGCGCGGCGGCAGCUGGAGGCCCCAUUAGCUAAAGUGGUGCUUCAGGUUAAGAACAGUUUCAGAUUAAGAACGGACCUCCGGAACGAAUUAAGUACUUAACCUGAGGUACCACUGUACAUCAUUUUCAUAUACAGUGGUACUUUGGUUUUUGAACAGCUUAGUUUUUGAACAGCUUAGUUCUCAAACAACUUCAAACCCGAAUGCUGCUAACCCGGAAGUGAAUGUUCUGGUUUGUGAACUUUUUUUUGGAAGCCGAACAUGCUCCAGUUUGAGUCCUACACUUCCAAUUACAGUGUUCCGCUUCCAGUUUGAGUAUUCUGCAUUGGAUUUGAGUGUAACGCAUCCGUUCUGGGUACUAGGCUGAGGUCUGUCGGCUAUUGAGUCCCUAGCAUCCACGCAACACAGAGGUGAUAUUGGGAGCUCAUAUUUGGUGCUUUUGUUUUUGCUAUUUUUUGUUUUUGUUUGUGUGGCUUUUUCGGUUAAUUUGAUUUUGUAACUGUGUGGAACCCAGUUCAGCUACUGAUUGAUUGGUUGUGUGACUGCAGAAAUGAAUAAUAGCAAAGGCAAGAGUACCAUUAACAGAACAACUGUAGAGGUAAAGAAGCAAAUUAUUUCCAAGCAUGAAAGUGGUAUCCGUGUAAGUGAUCUGGCAACACAGUUUGGUAUGGCCAAAUCUCCAAUUUGUACCAUCUUAAAAAAACAAGGAUGCUAUUAAAGGAGCCAGUGUUGCAAAAGGUGUUAAAACACUCACAAAGCAAUGAACACAGACAAUUGAAGAAGUGGAAAUAUUGCUUCUAAUAUGGAUAACUGAGAAAGAGUUGGCCGGUGACAGCAUUUCUGAGAACAUAAUUUGUGGAAAAGCUUUACGUUUGCAUGCCGACCUCAUCAGAAAAACCCCUGGAACAAGUGCUGAAGGUGAGAGUUUCAAGGCAAGUAGAGAGUGGUUUGAUAAUUUUAAGAGAAGUGGUUUAAAGAUUAUGUUGAGUCGCAGGGUUUCUGUUAUGUACUGAGUUGAAUAGGAUCCAAAAUGCAGCAGUCUGAUUGGUCCUAGAACAAUAGGAUCCAAAAUGCAGCAGUCUGAUUGGUCCUAGAACAAUAGGAUUCAGAAUGCAGCAGUCUGAUUGGUCCUAGAACAAUGCAGCAGUAUGAAUCCACAACCUGAUUGGCCUACAAGAGAAUCCUGGAAUUAGCCAAUCACGUGCAGCCCAUUGUGUAUAUAAAGCAGAUAUUGUGGGGGAACUUCCAUUCCUCCUCACCACUAUGAGCUGAAUAAAGAGCAUGAAAUCCAUUCUCGACUCCAAGUAUAUUUCAGUUUCAUUCCCAAACAAGUUUUCAGCUGUGAUGAGAUAGGCCUCUUUUAAAAGAAAAUGCCAAAAAGGACCUACAUAACAAAGGAGGAAGAAGCAUUUCCAGGACACAAGCCCAUAAAAGACAGGCUGACACUUUGAUUUUGUGUGAACGCAAGUGGAGAUUUUAAGUUGAAGCCUUUGCUAGUCUACCGUUCUGAGAACCCCAGGGUAUUUAAGAAAAACAAAGCCAUAAGAAGCAAAAUGCAUGUGAUGUGGAGAUCAAACAGCAGAGCUUGGGUAACCAGGCAAUUUUUUAUUGAGUGGGUUCAUGAAGUGUUUGGGUCAAGUGUGAAAAAAUACCUCCAAGACAAAAAAUUUCCAAUGAAGUGCCUGCUUCUUGUGCUGGCCCUGGAGUAACCCGAGAACUGCAGUCCAGGUCCGGUCCAGAAUCCGAAGGCUCCACUAGGAGUCAGACUGACAGGGUCAAGGCAGGACACGAGGCAGGAAGAAGAAGAAGAAUUUAGAUUUGAUAUCCUGCUUUAUCAUCACCUUGCUGACAAAGGUCCAUAUCGUAAAAGCUAUGGUUUUCCCAGUAGUGAUGUAUGGAAGUGAAAGCUGGACCAUAAAGAAGGCUGAUCGCCGAAGAAUUGAUGCUUUUGAAUUAUGGUGCUGGAGGAGACUCUUGAGAGUCCCAUGGACUGCAAGAAGAUCAAACCGAUCCAUUCUGAAGGAAAUCAGCCCUGAGUGCUCACUGGAAGGACAGAUCCUGAAGCUGAGGCUCCAAUACUUUGGCCACCUCAUGAGAAGAGAAGACUCCCUGGAAAAGACCCUGAUUUUGGGAAAGAUGGAGGGCACAAGGAGAAGGGGACGACAGAGGAAGAGAUGGUUGGAUAGUGUUCUCGAAGCUACCAGCAUGAGUUUGACCAAACUGCGGGAGGCAGUGGAAGACAGAAGUGCCUGGCGUGCUCUGGUCCAUGGGGUCACGAAGAGUUGGACACAACUAAAUGACUAAACAACAACAAAUUCUGCUUUAUCACUACCCGAAGGAGUCUCAAAGCAGCUAACAUUCUCCUUUCCCUUCCUCCCCCACAACAAACACUCUGAGGUGAGUGGGGCUGAGAGACUUCAAAGAAGUGUGACUGGCCCAAGGUCACCCAGCAGCUGCAUGUGGAGGAGCGGAGAUGCGAACCUGGUUCCCCAGAUUACGAGUCUAUCGCUCUUAACUACUACGCCACACUGGCUCUCCAGGCAAAGACAGGUACAGGAUCUCAGGCAGGAUCUGGCAUACAGCAAUGUUGCUCCCGCAACCUGAGGCAGGGUCCGACAGCCUUUUAUCUUUGUCAGGGUAAUGGCCAGUCCUGAUCUCCUGGCGACUCACCUCCCUGUUUUGCCCGAAGGCGAGCACUCCUCCUGCGGGUACUCAGGUCUCUCCUUUUCUCAGACCUUAGUCUCUGCAGCUCGGGAGACGUCGGUGGAUUACUAGACCCAGGGGCCGCCUCAGCCUCCCCUGACCCAACCAGUAGUGGAGCAGCUGUAAGUGAUGGCCCAGCUGGAGGCAACGAGGUAAUCCCCGCAUCUGGAGCCAGGGCAGGCUCAGGCCCCUGACUUGGCUCAGCUGGUGUUUGUUUCAGGGGAACCUGUGCAGACUGGGACUCUUCAGGAUCAGACCCCAGACUUGGUUCAGAUGAUGCCUGAGGCAAAGGAUCUGGUGCAGACUGAGACUCCUCUGGUUCUGAGUCCGAGCCCGAGUCCUAGGCAUCCACACUUCUUAUGGAUAAUGCUCCAGGUCACCCUCCAGGCAUGGAAGACGAGUUGAUGGAAGAGUUCAGCUUCAUCAGUGUAAAGUUCUUGCCCCCACAACACGACUUUUCUCAUCCAGCCCAUAGACCAGCAGGUCAUAUCUAAUUUUAAGAAGCUUUACACUGGCUUCUGGUUUCCAGUUGCCUUAAUGGCACAGCUCCCACGAUAGCGGAGAUUGUUGGCAAAGCAAUAAACAAAGAUGAUAGGUAUAUUAUCUCCUCGUUACUUGGCUUUUGGAUGCGGGUGGCGCUGUGGGUUAAACUACGGAGCCUAGGACUUGCUGAUCAGAAGGUUGGUGGUUCGAAUCCCCACGACGAGGUGAGCUCCUGUUGCUCAGUCCCUGCUCCUGCCAACCUAGUAGUUCGAAAGCACGUCAAAGUGCAAGUAGAUAAAUAGGUACCGCUCCGACGGGAAGGUAAAUGGCGUUUCCGUGCGCUGCUCUGGUUCACCAGAAGCGGCUUAGUCAUGCUGGCCACAUGACCCGGAAGCUGUACGCCGGCUCCCUCGGCCAAUAAAGCAAGAUGAGCGCCGCAACCCCAGAGUCGGUCACGACUGGACCUAAUGGUCAGGGGUCCCUUUACAUUUACCUGGCU